GUACAGCACGACCUACCUCAUCGGGACCUUGUGCCUCAGUGCAGAAUGGAGAAGGUUUGCCAAUUAGCACAAGCUGGUCGAUGGCGAUUGCCUGGUCUUCCAGUUGAUCAAGACCACAAAGUUAAAGAACCACCUGACAUAUUUAUGGUUGGAGUGCGCUGCCGGGCGUGCCCCCAACAUAUACCUCAUUGAAUUCAGAUCGACGCGUGCUCAUGGAUGAAUUGUUGGUGAUUCCCCUGCCAACUCAAGUAUGAAGAUCAUGCAAGUAAGGUUUGAUCCCACGCACUACUCGAGCUCCGCCUGGCUCCAAUCGAAUGGUGCAGCGACGACUGGGGCUAGCACCACCCCCGCUCGUGGCCAGCUCCGGCACGACUCGCUGCCGGCUCGAGUGCGCCCUCGACCGGCGGCAAGGAAGCGGGUGGGGUCAAGCUGGCACAGAAGAGGCCGCCCGGCAGCCGCCGUACUCAAGGCGCGUGCAGCCGAGCGGGGCGUCGACGGAGGAGCCGCAGAGGGGUGAGGAGGCAGGUGCCAUGGCGGGGGUCGCGGGGUGGAAUUACAUUGGACCUGAGGUUUGUUUAUUCUUUAUUUUCUAUCUUGUGACGCAAACUAUAUUUUUAAUAUCAAGAAGGAUUUUGUCUUUCUGCAGAGAAGUCCUUCACAUGCAGUGAUCAUACGGGCAAUUGAGCAUGACAGAAGUACAAAGUGAUUGACAAGUUAAAUAAUCGAUUACUUGAGGAAAUUGAGGAAAGUAAGGCCUUUUUUCAGGUUUAUGAAGGUGUUGUCUACAUACAUCAGGUGUCAAUUACCGUGUUGAGGACUUUGACUAGUCAAUUAUCAUCAAGGACAGCCUAGGCCAGUGCCCAUGCGAGCCAGGUUUUUGAAAGCCAAGAAGUUCGGUGCGGAGAUGCUGAAAUGGAGGAUGGACUUUAGAGCCGACACCAUCCUUGAGGUGAUAGUAUUAUCAUUAAUGGUAUUGAAUUGAUAGUGUUAUCAUGAAUGCUGGCAGUGGGUUCAAGUUGAUCUGGAACAGUGUGAAGGGCUUCAUUGACCCAAAAACGUCAUCCAAAGAUUCAUGUUCUUGGUUCGAACUAACUACCAGAGCAAGCUUCUUGAAGUAAUAGACUCAAGAAUUCCUGGGUGGUUCAUCCACAUGUAGUGACAAGGGUGGUUAUCUUGGAUCAAACAAAGGGCCAUGAAAUGAUCCUUAUAUAUUGAAGCUGAUACAUAAUCUGGAGGAUGGAUGUGUGAGGGAAAUCAAACCUGUUUAUGAGGGGGAGGAAAGAAGCUGCCAAUCCUGCUGGCGCCAGGGGCGAUCGGGGCAACGCGUCCCAGAGCGGGGGGCGCCAGCAGUGCCCCCUCUGGCCGAGGCGAGGCCGCACCAGGGUGCGCAGCGGGCUGGACGCCACCACCUGCCGAGAUGCCAAACCGAGCUGCUCCACAACUUGUUGUGUAGACUGCAGGUCUGAAUCUUAGGAAUGGACAUAUUUUCUCUGCAAGGGAGCUCAAACUAAAGCAGCUUACUGCAUCAAGUCUGAACUGGAGUGCAUGAUCACUGCACAAGGUAAGUUAGCUUCAGAAUUACCCAUUUUAUGUCACAUUUCAAAUGAAGCUCAAUUACAGUUGCUGGGAUAGAACUGGGCGUAGGAGAGCUACCCAGGUUAAUCUCUAACUGUUUCUGGAUUGUUUCUUCUACGUUUAAGUUUUCGGACUUAGGAGUUUAGACCUAAUAUACGAUUAACCUCUAGCCUACUAAAUUGACCAUGUAUAUCACCCUGGAUUAACACACAUGGUAAGAACUUAAAUAAUGCAACACAUGUAGCAGCUUCUGUCAAGGAACCCUCUCUGUUGAUUCUAGAAAACAUGAUGUACUGAUGUACCCUAUAGAUCACAUGUUCUGAAUUAAUGGCAACAAAUAAUAAAAGUGUAGAUUGAUUAGGCUUUGCUUUGGUUUGCUUUGCAAGUAGGAAAUAAAGGGAGAUGCUUAAAUUCAACAGCAUCUGCCAUCCAACUUAACUAAGCUCAUUAUAGUAUAUGAUUUGACUAAAUUUAAAUCACACAAUAGUACUUCUGCUUUUAUAUGAUGCUAUGUGGUAAAUGCAACAGCACCUGCAAUUCAACUACAACAUCAACAUUGCAAAGGCCAAUAUGAUUGGAAACUGUGACAUGAUUACAAAUUGGUUAAUGCAAGGUUUUAGAAUUAGACUACUGAAAGAACGAUUAGGAAAAAUAGACGUGUUCCAUUCUUUAAUGCGGUGUUUACCUGAUUUUUUUAUGUGGUCUUUCUUACUAAUUGUAUGCAGAUACCUACUGUUUGUGUGCACUUCUAUUCCAACAGUGCAGAGUAUAUAUUCAAGCAUUGGUUUACAUACUUAAGACAAUUGUUCAUGUGCAGAUAUCUUUUGUGAAUUUUGUUCCAUCUCAGAGAAUCUGACAAUGUGUGCUGUAUAAUUUUGGCCGUUUAGGUGAUCCAUGUCCGUGAGUGGCUACAGACAAGGAACAAUAUUUGGCAGCUCCAACUGUGCAAGCUUCGCUCUCUCUUUUUUUAAAAAAAAUUGUCAUGCUACAGGUCACUGUUGUUCGAUUGAAAAAAGACUAUUACAAAAUUCUUGGUGUUCCUAAGGAUGCAUCGCAGGAUGAAAUCAAUGAGGCUUUUCAUUCUGUAAAUAUCAUUACAGUUCAGAAUAUCUUGAGAUAUUUGUGAUUUUCUUAUGAUUUAUUAACAUCGUUGAUUUUCCAUCCCAUGGAAUGUUACUUUUCUAAUUUUGUCCUGGUGAUCAAAGUUGAUCCACCUUCAACUGCUACUGGCCAUACUAUUGCAAUUCUUAGUGAAGUGAAAGCUGCUAGGAAUCAGAUGAGUUCUAUUUUAGUCACAGUAUAAUCUAUUGCCUCUUUCUUUCAUGUGCUUUGUAACUUAUUAUUCAACUGCACAAGCAGUAGCACAGCUGCAUUAUUCUCUGCACAAUUUUGCACUGAAGUAACCUGGACACAGUUUCACAUGCAUUGACUGUGUACAUGGUUC